UCAGGCCUAACACAUGCAAGUCGAACGGCAGCGCGGGGAGCUUGCUCCCUGGCGGCAAGUGGCGGACGGGUGAGUAACGCGUAGGAAUCUACCUUGUAGUGGGGGACAACCCGGGGAAACUCGGGCUAAUACCGCAUAAUCUCUACGGAGCAAAGUGGGGGAUCUUCGGACCUCACGCUAUAAGAUGAGCCUGCGUUAGAUUAGCUUGUUGGUGGGGUAAUGGCCUACCAAGGCAACGAUCUAUAGCUGGUCUGAGAGGACGAUCAGCCACACUGGGACUGAGACACGGCCCAGACUCCUACGGGAGGCAGCAGUGGGGAAUAUUGGACAAUGGGGGCAACCCUGAUCCAGCAAUGCCGCGUGUGUGAAGAAGGCCUUCGGGUUGUAAAGCACUUUCAGUAGGGAAGAAAGGCUUAAGGUUAAUACCCUUGAGAGUUGACGUUACCUACAGAAGAAGCACUGGCUAACUCUGUGCCAGCAGCCGCGGUAAUACAGAGAGUGCAAGCGUUAAUCGAAAUCACUGGGCGUAAAGCGUGCGUAGGUGGAUACUUUAGUCGGAUGUGAAAGCCCCGGGCUUAACUUGGGAACUGCACCCGAUACUGGGUAUCUAGAGUAUGGUAGAGGGAAGUGGAAUUUCCGGUGUAGCGGUGAAAUGCGUAGAUAUCGGAAAGAACACCAGUGGCGAAGGCGGCUUCCUGGA
rnacentral:rRNA from 1 species